CAGUAAAUUGCUGUGUGGUAUAUGAAAUGUAUUGAAAGUACAUGAGGUAAAGUUGUUUUUAUUACAUUAUACUUUAACGUCGGAUCAUUAGUGUGCCAUUUUCUCAUCCCUAUUAUGGUGAUUAUUUUACUCUUUAUUCUUCAAUAGGUUUGCCCUCGAUUGCGAAGGGGGCAGGGGUAAGCAAAGGUAUGCCGGCAGUUUUUUGCGAUCUAUCAAUGGAGUGAUAGAAAAAAAUAAGGUUGAGAUUUGUUCAGCCUCCACACACUGUACCUACUGGGGCCAAGACUUGUCAAUGCCACCCGGUUGCUGGCCUUGUGCCUCAUCCAUUGCAAUGCUCACAAUCCAAUAAUAAGGCUCCAGCCACGGAUGUACCAGCGUCCCCGGUGGAUCGUUAGGCUAACAGGCGAUGCAGCUGAGCCAGACUUCUCUGAGGCUCGGGGUGGUCGGAGUUUCCAAGGAGAGAGGGCGUUCACUGUUCGCCCCUGGUUAUAUGGCUCCACAGCCCCUCACUGUCUCCUGGCAGGAGCCGAAUUCCUUCCACUGAGCACCGUAUCAGUUCACCUCCGCCAGGCGCAAAGGCAUAUAUCUGAGAACGUGUUAGGAACCCGCAGAUUUUCCAAGCCUGUGUUUAAAGCAUUUGUGAAGGUAUCAGACUGUAAAAACUCAAGCCUUGAAACGACAAGGAAAAGUUUGUGAGUAUUGAUGGUGAACAGAACUGGCCAGGGAGGAUAUGAGAUGAUGCAGGUACCAGCAUCUGAAAGAGAGAGGUAAAGGAGAAAGGAUGUUAAAACUUCUAGAAGGCAUCCCUUCCUAUUAACUUAUUCCAUUUUUUUAAGUAGCCAUUAUUUAAUUUU
ensembl:lincRNA